rnacentral:rRNA from 1 species
CUACGGGCCCCUGCAGUGAGGGAUAUUGCACAAUGGAGGAAACUCUGAUGCAGCAACGCCGCGUGGAGGAUGACGCAUUUCGGUGUGUAAACUCCUUUUAUAUGUCAAGAAAAUGACGGUAGCAUAUGAAUAAGCACCGGCUAACUCCGUGCCAGCAGCCGCGGUAAUACGGAGGGUGCAAGCGUUACUCGGAAUCACUGGGCGUAAAGGACGCGUAGGCGGGAUAUCAAGUCAGGUGUGAAAUCCUACAGCUUAACUGUAGAACUGCACUUGAAACUGGUAACCUAGAGUAUGGGAGGGGGAGAUGGAAUUAGUGGUGUAGGGGUAAAAUCCGUAGAUAUCACUAGGAAUACCUAAAGCGAAGGCGAUCUCCUGGAACAUAACUGACGCUAAGGCGUGAAAGCGUGGGGAGCAAACAGGAUUAGAUACCCCAGUAGUC